GAUGAACGCUGGCGGCGUGCCUAAUACAUGCAAGUCGAGCGAACGGACGAGAAGCUUGCUUCUCUGAUGUUAGCGGCGGACGGGUGAGUAACACGUGGAUAACCUACCUAUAAGACUGGGAUAACUUCGGGAAACCGGAUCUAAUACCGGAUAAUAUUUUGAACCGCAUGGUUCAACAGUGAAAGACGGUCUUGCUGUCACUUAUAGAUGGAUCAGCGCUGCAUUAGCUAGUUGGUAAGGUAACGGCUUACCAAGGCAACGAUGCAUAGCCGACCUGAGAGGGUGAUCGGCCACACUGGAACUGAGACACGGUCCAGACUCCUACGGGAGGCAGCAGUAGGGAAUCUUCCGCAAUGGGCGAAAGCCUGACGGAGCAACGCCGCGUGAGUGAUGAAGGUCUUCGGAUCGUAAAACUCUGUUAUUAGGGAAGAACAGAUGUGUAAGUAACUGUGCACAUCUUGACGGUACCUAAUCAGAAAGCCACGGCUAACUACGUG
rnacentral:rRNA from 1 species